rnacentral:rRNA from 1 species
ACGAACGCUGGCGGCGUGCUUCACCCAUGCAAGUCGAACGGAAAGGCCCUGCUUUUGUGGGGUGCUCGAGUGGCGAACGGGUGAGUAACACGUGAGUAACCUGCCCUUGACUUUGGGAUAACUUCAGGAAACUGGGGCUAAUACCGGAUAGGAGCUCCUGCUGCAUGGUGGGGGUUGGAAAGUUUCGGCGGUUGGGGAUGGACUCGCGGCUUAUCAGCUUGUUGGUGGGGUAGUGGCUUACCAAGGCUUUGACGGGUAGCCGGCCUGAGAGGGUGACCGGCCACAUUGGGACUGAGAUACGGCCCAGACUCCUACGGGAGGCAGCAGUGGGGAAUAUUGAACAAUGGGCGGAAGCCUGAUGCAGCAACGCCGCGUGCGGGAUGACGGCCUUCGGGUGGUAAACCGCUUUCGCCUGUGACGAAGCGUGAGUGACGGUAAUGGGGAAAGAAGCACCGGCUAACUACGU